rnacentral:rRNA from 1 species
GAGACGAACGCCUGGCGGCAGGCCUAACACAUGCAAGUCGAACGGAUCCUUCGGGAUUAGUGGCGGACGGGUGAGUAACACGUGGGAACGUGCCCUUUGGUUCGGAACAACUCAGGGAAACUUGAGCUAAUACCAGAUGUGCCCUUCGGGGGGAAAGAUUUAUCGCCUUUAGAUGGGCCCGCGUUGGAUUAGCUAGUUGGUGGGGUAAAGGCCUACCAAGGCGACGAUCCAUAGCUGGUCUGAGAGGAUGAUCAGCCACACUGGGACUGAGACACGGCCCAGACUCCUACGGGAGGCAGCAGUGGGGAAUAUUGGACAAUGGGCGAAAGCCUGAUCCAGCAAUGCCGCGUGAGUGAUGAAGGCCUUAGGGUUGUAAAGCUCUUUUACCCGAGAUGAUAAUGACAGUAUCGGGAGAAUAAGCUCCGGCUAACUCCGUG